CCCUGAGAACACUGAGUGCAUUCUGGAAUAUUCCAAAUGUGUGUCACUUCCAUACAAAAGAAGUUCCAAUCCUGCAAGAGAGUUCACUCACCAGUGGGCUCCAUCAACAGACCAGGGCAAAGUCAGUCUGUCCUGCUACUACUACAUGCUACUUGACUAUGUCUGGAAGCCAUGGCUGCUGCCCUCAACAUGCUAAACUGAAACCCUCACAAAUAAAGUCACAAAUCAA